UACGUAGGGCGCAAGCGUUGUCCGGAAUUAUUGGGCGUAAAGAGCUCGUAGGCGGCUUGUCACGUCGGGUGUGAAAGCCCGGGGCUCAACCCCGGGUCUGCAUUCGAUACGGGCUGGCUGGAGUGUGGUAGGGGAGAUCGGAAUUCCUGGUGUAGCGGUGAAAUGCGCAGAUAUCAGGAGGAACACCGGUGGCGAAGGCGGAUCUCUGGGCCAUUACUGACGCUGAGGAGCGAAAGCGUGGGGAGCGAACAGG
rnacentral:rRNA from 1 species